rnacentral:tRNA from 1 species
UCCAUUGCUUAGUUGGUAAAACACAAAGCUCUUAACCUUGUGGACGUGGGUUCAAGACCUACGAUGGAA